rnacentral:rRNA from 1 species
AACGAACGCUGGCGGCAGGCUUAACACAUGCAAGUCGAACGCUCGUAGCAAUACGGGAGUGGCGGACGGGUGAGUAACGCGUGGGAACGUGCCCUGAGGUACGGAAUAACUGAGGGAAACUUCAGCUAAUACCGUAUGAGCCCCGAGAGGGGGAAAGAUUUAUCGCCUUGGGAGCGGCCCGCGUCGGAUUAGCUAGUUGGUGGGGUAACGGCCUACCAAGGCUUCGAUCCGUAGCUGGUCUGAGAGGACGAUCAGCCACACUGGGACUGAGACACGGCCCAGACUCCUACGGGAGGCAGCAGUGGGGAAUCUUGCGCAAUGGGGGCAACCCUGACGCAGCCAUGCCGCGUGAACGAUGAAGGCCUUAGGGUUGUAAAGUUCUUUACCCGUGACGAUGAUGACGUAACGGGGGAAUAAGCUCCGGCUAACUUCGUGCCAGCAGCCGCGGUAAU